GGGCCCGUAGUGUAGUGGAAUCACCGUAGCCUCCGGAGCUUCAGACCCGGGUUCGAAUCCCGGCGGGCCCGCCA
rnacentral:tRNA from 3 species